GCGUCCUUCCUGACAUUUUAAAAAAGAUGCAGUGGUGGAGCUUCUGGAAAGCCAAUCAGAGUAUCUGCUGUGCUGGAGUGCUUGAUUUAUUCUGGUAUGUGCUGUAGGCCGCAGUGCCUUCUGUUUCCCUAAAGGCAAGAGAAAGAGGUAGCAUCAGAGACAAACCUAAUUUUAAGUACGGAAGUUAAAUUCAGAAGCCUACUUAGAAAAUGGACAAUUCAACUGCAGAACCCCCUCUUCUAUCCCUGUAUUAUUGACUCCAUGCAAACAAGAAUUAGAGCAGCUGCACGUAAAGUACUUGGUAAAUAUCUCAUAAAUUAUAUUGAGGGCCAAUGGGAAAGACAGGAGAAACGUGUUCUCCUAAUAUAGCAGUUUUCAGGUCUACCUCUGAGAUGAAACUUUUAAAAAGGUGACAAUUCCAACUGCAUUCCUGUUCAAUAAUGCCUUCUACCCAUAUUGUCGAGGAAACCACGGGUCCCCAUAAGAGAUGUUCCUACAGAACAGAAGUUGCCAUCACAAUAUUAUUGUAGCAAUAGACAUCUGCCAGAAAGCUGCUAUUCUAGCCCAGCGUGAAUCAUUGGGGUAAUUUUAAAUUUUCUAGAAGCCACAUUCAAAAGGUAAAAGAAAACAGGAAAAUCGAUUUUAAUAUGUAUUUACUUAACCCAAUACGAUGAAAAUAUUAACGUUUGCCACGAUUUUACAUUUUGUGUGCUAACUCGGGAAUCUGGUGUGCACCUGACACUUCCAGCACAUCUUGCUUUGGACUAGCCACUUUUGAAGUCCACAGUAGGAUUACUAACUAUUAAAAUGGAACUGUUAACUAUUAAUAACCAAGUAUCACACUGGAAAAUGCAGCCGUGGUCCCUGCCUCAGUGACUGCACCACAGCAGACAGACCAAAGCUAAGAUGCCCGGGCAGUGAGUCACAGUUUGUUCCACAGCGGGCACUUCAGGGGCGCCUCCCCAGGGCAAGAGCUCCAGGCUGGUUUGCACACGUGACUCUUUCUCUUGGUGGGAGGCCCCCUCUGUGAACACCACUGUCACAGGACUGCCCUUGGGACAGAGCAAGGUCCUGAGGACUGUUGUGAGGAGGGAGGCAAUGGGUAGGCCUGCCUGCCACUGAAUUCUCCAACUCCACUUCUAUUUUCUGUGUUUAAAAGUCAAUUCGUUUCAUUUUCUGUAAGCUUCUUUAAAAAUAAUUUGAAAUAUAAUUACAAUAUGUGAAAAGAUAAAAAGAAUUCACAAAUGUCUAAAAAACACUUGAUAUAACAACAGUGAAGCUACUUGAAGAUAAAAAUCUGAAACCCAAUUACUAAUCAGUUACUUUGCCCUUCAUUCAAUUAAUUUCAACUGUUUACAGAGGCCGUGAAGCUCAGGACAGUUGGAAAAGGACAGUCCUGGUUGGCUUAGCCUCAAAGGAAUCCUGAGAUCAGGAAGACAGGAGUGCUGGGAGGCACAGCUGCCCGUCUAACUGGGAUGUGACUCCCCUUUGCCUGGGGAUCAGACACCAUUUUGCUUUUACCAAGUUGCCCUCCCCACUGGGUAGAGUCUGCCCCAAGUUCCAGGGCCUUACAUUACAGGUGUUGAAUACACACCUCCCUCUCCCCCUGUUAAGUGGAGACACGUUCUGCCACAAACAGGGACACCUGCAGUUCAUGUCAUUCAGACAACGGUGGACGGGGUUCAUAGGGCUUAAGGCAAUACAAAUGAAAACAUUCCAAAAUCUGAUUUUUUAAUUGCUUUCUCUUUCCUAUACUAAAACUAUUCUGGUUAAGAGAGAGACAAAUGCCUUCAGGGAGUCAAUAUUUGUAAGCUAGAACUGAACACACUUGCAAAAUUAAGUAAAGUGUAUUCUGAUUUCUGUAAAAGAAAACUUUCCCUGCACUCAACAUGAACAAAUUCUAUGAUUAUUUCCCAUUGGGCUAAAAAAGUCCUCAUUUAUGGACAUACAGCUGCUACAGGGGAGAGGAAGCAGUCUGAUAAAAGGACAAGGGACCAUUACUCUACUGAGCCCACCUCAAACCAAAGCCUGCCAGUCCACACCACUUUGCAUUAAAACUGGAAUGGCAUUAAAUCGGUAAUUUAGCAAUGGAGACUGAAGUCUCGGUGUCCUCGUUAAUGUUUACUGUCAUCACAUCUUAGCUGAGGUUAUUGACAUCUACAUAUUCACUCAACAUUUUUCAAAAGAAAGGACAUCUAAACAGACACACAGUUAACAGAUACCUUAUGAUGAUAAAAGCAAACCUUUCUCUCAUCUCUUCUUCUCAUAGAGAAAUAAAUUUUACUUCUUUGUGGCUCUCACCAGUUAGGUAGGUGCUGAACAGAGGAAGGGAAAAGGGCUGAAUAAAAUAGGGGUAACAAAUCAAAAGGAAGAGUGGCAUAAUAAAGGGGGUAAAAUCAAUGGCGGGCAGAGUCGAAGGAAAGCUGUCAAUUAGCUCCAGACAUUAUGACUUCUCUGAUUCUUUGGAACUGGAAAGAGGAAUGUGGUACCAGCAGCUAAUCUAAGUUAGAACCUUAAGAUCCUGGCGUGAAUAAUGCAAACUCCUUCACAGGGCAACACAGUGGAGAGGAGAAAGGGCCUUGGGCCCUAGCACCUUGGGCUCUGAGGGAACACGCAGUGCACAUAUUAAAUGCAUGCAGUAGUGUCUCAGAAACCUGUUGUAUGACAAGCUGCACAUCUGCAGAUGCAUCCUGACUUUUGCAUGGAGGGAAGACCUCUCCCAUUUUCCUGGGAUGGGUCUCAAUCUCAUAGAGGUGCUCUCCCCACUAACUACAAAAUCUUUGUUUAUUAGUUUUCUAUUUACAAUAUUUGACGAGUUUGUUGCAUGCUCCAGAAUUUGAGACCCAACUAGAAAAAUGUCCAUGUUCAUUUGAUCCCUCUGCUGUUGUGUUGUCUCAGGUCACUAUUCUGCCAAGCACCUGCCCGGGCCACUACAUACAGUUAAUCCCCCAAACCCUGUGACAUUCAUGUAAGCAGGCGGCUUAAAAAAAUCACACAGCUACUGCACCAGGCAUUAUUAACCUAAUGUUAAAAACAGGUUUACAUUAUAACAAGUCAUUAAAUAUUUUUAAGGAAGCAAAAAACGAUUUAGUCACAUUAAUUGAAAUACAUAAAUUGUGCAGAGGAUUCUAAUGAACAUGGCAAGCUCGUACUUAUCCUGGAAUGAUAUAACUAGAACAAAGAAAACCAUGCAUCAGUGAGAAAAGUAUUCACUGCAAAUAAGGGGAAGUAGGACUGUAAACAAACGGCAGCUGGUUUCUGGAAGCACACAGUCAAGCCACACACAACGGGAUGGCGGCAGUAGCGAAGGACAGGUCAAGGGCUGUGCACUCCCAGACUGGAAUGUGCGAGAAUCAGCUGAGAACGGAAACUGGACAGAUAAGGAAGUAGCAUGUAGAUGGGGCCCAUUUCUGACCAGUUUGGGGUCCUAUUGUUAGUAUUCUUAGCCAGACGCUAAGAAGAAGAAAAAUGUACCAGAGUACUUAAAUUUUGUGGCCUUUUUAUCGCAA